GUUACUCCUUUGAAGAGAAGAGUAAGCCUGGAAAAUCUUUAGUAGAGAGUCUCGGUUGGUGAAAAGAGAUAAGAUAGGAAAAGUUGAAGAUGGUCUCUGAGGAAAAAUUGUUGAUAAGUAAGCAAUUUCGGAAAGCACCCGUUAUCAAAGCUAUAGGUUGAUUUAGAGACCUGAUUAAGAAAAUAACAAUUUGUUAUUUGAAACAAAGGUGGUACCGCGAUUAUUCGCCCUUUUA
rnacentral:ncRNA from 1 species